GGGGAGGAGGGAAGGGGAUAAAUAGGGUUAAGAAGGAAAGCAACUGGAAAAAGAAUCCAGUUUUUGGCCAAACCCACAGAGACAGUUGUCACAAGUACAGGAGUUGGUUUAAAAAAUAAAAAUAAAAUAAAUUCCGCACAUCUUUUCUAAAAGCUCCCACAGUUCCUCAUGCGUGACCAUGGAAGAGCGUGUGUGAGAAGAGAAAAAAUUCCUUUCUUCUCCAUUAACUAGGACCCCAGAAGAGAACGAAGAGAACAUAAACAGGGGCAUAAUGAACCCAGGAUCCGAAAGGCUAACCAUGAAAGGAUCUAAUCCAGGCAGAAAAGACCUUGCUGCCCAGACGGGUCCGGGGUCAGAGUGGGAACAAGCCUGCCCCCAGAGCCCCCGCAGGUUCUACGGGGCUUUGUAGAGAAACACCACAGUGGUGAUGCUCCAAGAGUCCUUCGCGUCCUUUCACUCACGCAACCCCCUUUGUCCGCCCGGGUGGCGCUGCUCCCCAAAUGUCAAGGAGCCUCUCUUAAUUCUCAUUCCCCAUUCAAAGCGGUCAGGUCAGCUUAAAACCUAAGCGGCCCCAACCCCACGGACAGCCCGGCAGAGGUCAAGGGCAGCUCUCUCACACACAACGCGGGACACAAAAUUUGUUCAGAUGUUUCAAAGGAAACAAGUCAGGGAGGUGACCGACGUGCGUCUCGGGUUGUCUCCUUGCAAAUCGCCAGGGUGGGGGGAAGCCCCGCAGAACGAUGCAGAGUAAAGCGGGGAGGAGCCGGCAUUCCUGACAAGUGAGGCACCUUCCGGCUUGGGCUUGGGUGCGGCCCACGGGGUGUGGGACGAAGCUGCCUCGGCUGGAGUGGCCUUGCCCACAGUAAAAGUGCCACCCGACUGGGGAAACUGGUUUCAGCGAGCUCUCCAGCCGGAGGGAGCAGGGCAGGCUCCCUGCUGCCUGGAAACACGGCGGAUGCCAGGGUGUGGUUCCCGCAGCAAACAGGACCCUCCCUGCUGGGAACACCGUGGGCAGACCAGUUUGCCACACCUCAGGAGAAACACAGGGAGACAGACAGACAAAAUGGAGCUGAGGAAGGCCCAGAGACAAACCGAGGUUGGCGGGGAUGGAGGCCCGUACUUCAUGAAGAAAAGCUAAAAAGCGCAUCACUCUUAACCAACAGUCUGGAAAGGAAAAAGCUCAGAGGGACAUGUUGGAAAAGCGGCCAGAAUCUCCGGGCAGGUGGGGACGGAGGGGACACAGGAAGACAAGAAGGGCCCGGGCUCCCAGAAGCCCUGAUGAAAGAAAAUAAGGCUCCCAGAGCAAAAGACCCUCAUGGAGCCAGAAGAAGCCUAUCAGAGUGGAAGGGAUGGCAAGACGCUUUGAACACUCUCCUCUCAGGCAGGUGGAUCGCAAAGGGAGGACAGGUGACGGGACUUGUGAAGGGCAGACAUUGCAGACACUCCCUUACCUCCGCCCACAGCAUGACAGGGCAGGCCAAGGUCUUGCCCAGGGUCAGGGUCAGGCUCCAUCCUUGUCCCGCACCCACAAGCCAGCUUGCUUGAAUACGUGGGCCGGGUCUACACCUAACACCUGGGGGCUGGCUACAAAGACCACCCGAGCGACUCCAAAGUCCUCACCACCAUCAAGAAAGAUUCCUAGGGGGCACUUGGGUGGCUCCUUCGGUUAAGUGUCCAACUUCAUCUCAUGGUUUGGGAGUUCAAGCCCAGCAUCGGGCCCUGUGCUGACAGCACAGAGACUGCUUGGGAUUCUCUCUCUCCCUCUCUCUGCUCUUCCCCCACUCGUACACAUACUCUCUCAAAAUAAAUAAACUUAAAAAAAAAAAAAAAAAAAAAAAAGAAUGAUCCCUGAAGAAAGCCCUUUCAUGCCGAAGGACUUCCCAAAGCAAGGAAGCACAGUGUUCAAAUCCACCCUCCAAAGACUUUCAGCCAAAGAGGGGCUCUGCGUUACCUGUAUGAACACCUCCGGGAUAUCUGGGCUCAGUGAGAAUCUACCCCGCAACUUUUUACUAAAUGGGUCAUGAAUACUUAGAACUUUGUUUCUUUACACGGACUUGGGGAAAACUGACAAACAGUAUUUAAAAAACAGAAACAAAAAACCUGCUGGCGACUUACGAAGGGAAAAUGGGAGACUGCAAGGGACACCAGGCCGGUGACCCUCCAGUGCCCACUGUGCGUCCUCAGUGUCAUCUGGCCAUGCUGUGCUCUGAAACUUCUCGGAGCCCUGGGCUAACCUCUGGUCACCUGAGGGGUGCCCUCUGAUAACACAAGAAAUUCCCAGCUUAACUUCUGUAUGAACACGGGGUCUGUCUUCCUUAUAAGGGGAAAGAACAAAAACCAAGAAAACCGAACCAGCCGGGACAGGGGCAGAAAUCCCCGGGGACCACUGACACGCCGGCACAAAAGCAGGCUCCAGGAACAGCAGCCAGGCUCCAGUGGUGCCACCUCAAAGACUGCCAGCAAAGCCCAUGUCAGAGUGGGAUUAAAUACCGAGGGAGCUUGCCUAAUAGACUGUGACAUAAUCCCUCAAGAAAAGUGGGGGAAGCCCCACUGCGCUAAUCAUUUCAAUCUAGACCUGCCAAGCCCUCUUGAGACCAGUAAGCAGGAGAAAGCCUGAGGCGUCAGCCUGAGCAGGGACGACCUUAUUCCCAGAGCCCGGACUGGCAAUGUCCCAGGAUGGCCGCGCCAGGGUCGGCCCGCCGGGGCCAUCGGGGACAGGCAACCGACCAAGCUGGGGGACUGACUUGGAACGGGUGUCCAGGAGGGAACGGGAAGAAGCCACCGGCUUGCCGAGGGUCAGAUCUGUCUCGUGCCUCCUGCACUAAGCUUCCAGGGCAUUUAAAUUCCCACUCACAGAGCUGGUGACAGCCAGCUCCUCCCUCUCGGGUCAAAGACUAGAUCUGGGUGCCCAUUCUAAGGAAUGCCUAUUUGGCCACUCCACAGGGCACAGGAGCAUGCUGAAUUCAGCACACACCAAGGGCUUGGCAAAAACAGCACGCAGUCAAGAAAUCUCAUGGCUUCAAAGCAGGCUGGCGGGGUGGGGCACGGGGCCGCUUUCUGCAGGCCAAGUGACCAACCACCAGCUCCGCUUCUUACGCUCUUGGUACGCUAACUUAGCGCCUUGGUUUUCUCACCUGUGGAAUGGGGUUACUGUAGUACCUACCAGGGUUGUUAAGGUUAAAUGAGAUUAAUGUGGAUAAAGCCCUUGACGUGAGAAAGGCACAAAGUACCAGACAAAAAGCAGCUACCAGAUUUAAGGAUAACCCUAAACCGGCUGGAGUGCUCAUCAGGAAGCACUUUCUGUACGGAGAAGCUUCAGCCAACUCCCCUUGAGGGUCGCUGCUGACCGCUGGCCAACAAGUUCCCGCUACACUUGGCCGGACUGAGUACGCGCUAUCCUCUCCCGACAAACCCUGACAAAACUGACACAUCAACACGUCCCCUUCCUCUGCUCUAGUCUAGCUGGUAAGAGGAAGUAACCGAGUGGGUGACCAGGAGGGAAAGGCACAGGGAGAGCUGAGCCCCAGGAAGAAGGGACAAAGGCCCCUUAAAAAAACAAAGCUUCCCGACAUGGAAAUUCUCUAGACGAGAGAGCUGGAAGGAAACUGAAAGGGGCCCGGGUUUGUGGAUCGAUCUGGUUUGCAAAAAAAGAGAAGGGGGUGGGGGCAAAAAAACCCAAAAGGUGGACGCUCAUGGGAGCAGUGGCUGUUACCUGAAGAUCAUGAGAGCCCUUGACAAGAGGCGGCUAGGUUAAUGGGAAGGUCAGGGUUAUGACCAUUAACUGCCCAAACGCUCAACAAAUUGCCUGGGUAGGCUCGGAAUGACCCAUUAACUGGGGACAAAACUACAAAAAUUACGGGGAGGCUCUGCCUCUUCAAAUGGUUAAUGACAGGCCCAACUGCCGAAGUCCCCAAAUCCGACCGUGUGGGACAGCUGUUUACUGGGAGCGAAGGCACAGAGGCUUUCCCUCGCUUUCCGACGAGGUGAAGGAGACUCGGGGGGUGGGGGGCACCUCACUGAGGGAUUUUCAGAGGCAGGAAAUUCUUGAAAUAAACCUCUGGGUCUCGCACAUGGUUUUCAGUGUCCUUACUACCUAGGUUUAUCGACCAGAACUCAAGAGCAAAUGGGCUCUAUGUCUCCCUUCCCCUCAACAUUCUCACGUGGUGUCACAACAGACUGUGACGUCGCGCCACCUCCAUGGUAACGUGCCCACGUAACAGACAACACCCCACCCGAGCAGCCAAGCGCAAACCAACCAUGGGACACGAGAAGCCCGAUCGCCAGCACCCCGAACCCCUCACUUCAACGUGAGCAGAAGAGACGGUCCGGUGCUGAGACCCGGAUGGGAACGCACCUACAGCCAGAAGUCAAUUUCUCCAAUGGAAAUGGAGAAAUCUGCACUUGGAAUGGGAUAUUGUACAGUGUGGACACUUCUUCCUCCCACAACUGAUUUUACAUACCUAACAUCACCACUUCACAGCAGUUACGUUGUGAGUAUUUGGAGAGGAAGACUAAGACAAAUGGCCCACUGAACUGCAGUUAACAUUUCCUUAUCCCAACGUAAGUGAACUUUUUUUUUCCCCCUAAGAAUGGGAAAAAAAAAAAAAAAAAAAAGGUAAACAGGAUCUUUCAGAGGGGAAAAGGG